ACGAAAAAAAACCCCAAACAAAAAACAACCUAGGCAGUGCAGCGAUAACACAAAUUGCCGGGUUUGGUUGUGAUGCAAGAUCCCUUGGGGUAGUUUCCAUCUUGUAGGUUCAGAUGGAAGCUCCACCAAUGGUCCUGGCUCCAAACCACCCCCUCGCAGCCCACCUAGAGCUGCCUCCCGUGCGCAGGGAAUCUGCUGGGCACCGCUCUGCCAGCUCUAAACCAUCCGUGUCUGCUGUAAUCCUCGCCCCUCCGUUUCUCUAUUCAAUAAAUCACAGAGAAUUUCUAGCAUCUAACAGAGCCCUUCGGGUCGCUCAGCUCCGAAUUUCUGAUCGAUGGAGGUGAGAUCGCCCUACCGACCCGUGCCAGCAGCAGCAGCAGCAGCAGCAGCAGCAGCAACCCUCCUCCCAAGGCGACAGGACAGAAGGGUUCGGUUGUUUAUUGCGUUUUUACCUGGAAUGAAUUGCAUCAAACAGCAGAGGAAAUACUGCAAAUGCGCAAGCAGGAGGCUGACGGCGGGCAAAAGGAUUUGGGCUAACAUAUUCCGCCGGGCAGAAGGCAUCGGCUGGGAGGUGGCGGAGCGGAGGUAGCGGUGCCAGGGCGGUGAGCGGGAGCAGUGAUGUGUCGGGAGAUGAGCGAGCUGCCUGACAUCAUCCUUUCACAAUAAGAGCCGGGCGCUGUGUCCCGGCAGGGCUGCCAAGGAUUCCUUGAUCCAUCCAGCUGCCCACGCUCCGCUCCGCGGCUGCGGCCGGGCCGGGACCUGCCGCCGGUCCUGGAUGCCGCCCCGGCCCCCCGAUGGCGGCCGCACCUGGGCCAGUCCCUGCAGCCCCUGAAACGCCGGACGGAUCAUCCGCCGCUGGAUCCGCCUCAAAACUCGAGCCACUGAUCAGUAAAACCUGAGACAGCAGUCACUAAAAUGAGCAACUCCGCCAAAAAUGCACAACUGCCGAGACCAGCUCUUCUUCAAAGGGUUUCUCUGCAGUGAAAGAAAUUAUUUAACGAUUUGAAGUCAUGUUGAAUGAAAUGAAAAGUAUCUGGGAAUAAGAAUCACCCAAAUGGGGAACUGCCCUGAAUAAAGCUCUGGUGCCCAAAUUUUCAAAAAAUAUUAAAAAUCAAUUGGAGUGAAUAAAAGAGAUGUGAAUAUUACUUUGAAGCAGAAAAAAAUUAUUCAGAGGAAGAAACUUAAAAGGGCUGAACUGUUUAUUUUAAUUGAAAGAGACCAAGAGGCAUUUUGAUCCUACUUGCAGAAAGGAACUAUUUGUUACGAAAUGUCUAUCGGGAAAAAGUACAGAAAUGGGUGACCAGAAAGAGAAGUCAGUUAAAUUUAGAAAGAUAUAUAUUUUUUUUUUCUCCUGUUAGAACCAACCAUUCAAACAACACACCAAG